CUAAAUGAAAUAAUAUAUAAUAAAUAAAAAAUCGUAACAAACGCCUUCACUUCUCUCUCUCUCUCUCUCUCUCUGAAACUGCUCGCCGAAAAUCGCCACCGCCGUGCCGGGAAUCGCCCACGGCGGCGGCGGAGGCCUGAUCCUCACCAAAUCACUUCAAUCGCAUUCUUUUCUUCCUCUUAAGAAAGAUUAUCAUCUUAAUUUCAACAAAUUUCCAGCUGUCGCACGCUCGAGAAAAAGAACAGUUUCCGGCGAGCGGUUUACGCCGCCGACCACCGUGAGCCACCAUCUUAGACCUCUUCUUCCUAAUUUCGAGUUUAGCCUAACGUGAUUCGUCAUUAAUCUCUCGUUCUCACUCUCUAAUCCUCAAAACGAAACGAACAAAAAACCUAAAUGAUAUCAACCGGUUUACACUACAAAUUCGAUCCAAUUAGAAGCUGGCAUGAGAAAGAAUGUGAGAAUCGAAAGAUUAUAGCGUUUACCUGGGGAGUAUGAAGGUUGAAGAUAAUUGCUGAGGAAAACCAGAGGUAAUUGCUGCGAGAUUGAGCGCCCGAUGAAGGUGAUGUGCGUCGAAUGUAUGUGGUGAGGUUGUUGUUAGUUAUGCUUUCUGCGAGUGAGAGAGAUGAAUGCGUGUUGUGCGUUCUUGAGAGAGUAGAGUCAAUGGAGGCUAAGCUCAGUUGAAACGAGACUUCGAGGUGAAGUCUCGCACAACAAUGGUGAGAGAAAGAGUGAGGGAAUUGAGAGUGAUUGAAGAUGAAUGGUGUGUGUCGAGGGAAGAGAUGAUAAAGAGAGGAUUGAAGGUGAUGAUAGGUUGAAGAUGAGAAAAUGGUGGACGAAGUGAAGAGAUGAAGAAAGUGAAGAGAGGACCUUCAAGAAUGAAGAAAGUGAAAGUGAUGAGAAAAUGGUGGACGAAGUGAAGAGAUGAUGAAAGGUUUACUGUAGUGCCAAUGUUUGUUUUGCUGGGUCCUGCGAAGGUGAUUAGCACAUUAAAUAAUGGUAAGGUCUUCGGAAUUUGUAACUGAUGUGUACUAUCAAUUUAUCCAUAUAUUUUUUUCUCUAUCUCCAACUCUCUGAAUUUGAAUGACAUUUUCAAUUUUUUGUAGUUUACUUUGCCUUAUUUACUAUGUGUUUUGUUGAUUUCCAAUUAUGUUUGCUGUUUACUUACCAAUGUAGUAAUCAAACAAUUUUUUUCCUAUUUAUUAUGAAUUUUGAAACCAAGAAGGAAUUAGAGUGCAUUUUCUGAUAUUUGGCUCAACCUUUGCAUCUUACAAUUUGGCAAUUGCUUCUAUUACUAUUUGUUGAUUGUUGUUUGGUAUUUGCUUUUAUUGGCUACCUAAAGUAAGGAAGGAACCUGAAGUCUAUGUUGUGUAAAUUCAACAUUCAUUAGUAAUUGUCUUAUUAGAUUAUUGAUGUUUAGAAGGAAGGAAAAUAUAGUCUUACUAAUUAUUUGGUGAUGUUUUCUUUAUUUAGAGAAAAACAAACUAUUAAAUAUGGAAAUAUUAAUUGAAUGAAUGUGUAGGUGGCUGGAACCUAAGUCUUUGAUUCUUUUUAGUCUUCAAUGGAAUCCCCUGUAUCCUUUCUAUUGAUGCAUUAACUGGAGUACCAUUUUUCUAAUGAUUGACAUUGUGCUCUUAAUAUGAAAUUUGUUUAAGACAAACUCCCAAGAUUUAUUAAUGUUUAUUAUGAAGAGAUAGUUUAUAGCAAGGGCCAAAUACCAUAAAGGGAUUAAGUGCAUUCAUUUUUUGAUAUUUCAGAGACAAACAGUAGUCUGAGACAGACAAUUCCAAAUAUUAUAUUCUGUAUUAUUUAGUUAUUGAUAAUUUACUCGUACAUACAUGAUUUGUCACUAGAUUAAUAAGGAUAAAAGAUGUGACUUUGUUAAUUAAUAUUUUACUGCUAGUCUAGAGAUGCUUGCUCAAUAAAUUUAUUGAAAAUAACUAUUGUAUCAUUCAAUUUAGUUGGUUUGAAAUAACUCCUACUGUUUGCUCCUAAUUGUACUUUUUUCAAAAGACCGGUAAAGGUUGAUCAAAAGAUAGAAAUGUCACAAAAUCGUUAUUGCAAUAUUGGCAACAAUGAUUAUGGUAUAUAAUAGCAGCUUUUGGAAACUAAAGGUAAUGGAAGCUUAAAAAGAAGAGCUAGUUAUGGAGAAAAGUGGUAAAGUGGAUGAGAAGAAUAUUUAAGGUGUCAAAUUUACAUUCCUUUGAAAUCAAUAGUAUUUCUCCCUCUUUAUCAAAUGAUGUUUUCUAGUUGCAGAAUGGAUAUGUUUCUGUAUGAGUCAAGCAAAGCACAUUCGUUUCUAGAUUCAUUAGAAGUGUUGUUCAGUUUUUAUUCCUAAAUGGUUUGAAUCAAUGGCUAAUUAUUAAUGUAAUUCUUUUCUACAUUCUCAUUAGCUCUGUAAUAGAAUAGGCAUAGUCCCUCUUUAGAUAAGUGCUUUGUCUGGGUUGUUAUUAUUUUUUCCUAAUAAUAUAUUGAAUUUUAAUUUGUAUUAUUUCAUUUAGGAAUACAUGUACGUUAUUAUUAUAAUUUUGUUUUUAACAAAGAUUAUUAUGUAUUUUAACGAUGGGUAAAAAUAAUAAUUAUAAAAAAGAUAUUGGUUGACUUAUGGCAUGUUUCCUUAUAAAAUCAUGUCAAAGUCAGUUGAAAUAAUAACAAUAAAAAAGGUAUGAAUUUUAAAUAUUUUAAAUAACUUUUAGAGGGGUUUAAAACCCCCGUAAAAUUGGUUUCCAUUCAGUGGAUACACGGGGUUUAAAACCCGUGUAUUUAAUUGAACUUUUCACAUCGAAAGUGUAUACAAAUUAUAUAUGUUCAGUGAACUUGCACCAACUAUGUGGAUCGCCAUGUCAGUACUAGGGAGCAGAUUACAGUGCAAGAUACUUUGGACGACAUGGCUUACAAAACAUCACAGUUUGGGUUGGAUGGUAAUGGUGCAUUAGUUAGAGCUUAAACAAGCAUAUGGAGAUUGAAGCUGCACUUUAGAAUCUGAGAAUGAAGUUGCGCAUGGAGCUCUAUGUAGCAUAAUUUGUACUCAGCCUAGAAGAAUAUCUGCUAUGUAUGUUUCUGAAAGAGUUGCGGCAUCCAUGAGCUAUUUUGUUAACAUGCUUUUAUAAUGUUUAAUCUUAAUAUUUUCAUCGAGCCAUUGUUUCUAUUAAAUACUGCAGCUAGAAUCUUUGCAUUCUUGUAUGGUCCUCAUAAUUAUGUAGCUAGAAUAUUGGACACUAGAAGAUAUGGUGAGCAAUAUGCAAGCAAAGAGGAGGAUGCGGACCGUGUCUUGCAAUUAAGAACCUCAACUGAAAUUAAACCUGGAAAUUCUUUGAUUACAUUUCUGAUGCCAAAGGAUCUGCCCUUUUCAUAGAAGGAGAAGAACCAAUUCAGCAACUUGCCAUUUUUGCUAAAACAGUCAUUGAUACAACCGGAGCUGGCGAUACUUUCACUGCUGCUUUUGUUAUAGUGUUAGUGGAGUGAAAGUCCAAAAAAGAAUGUCUCAUAUUUGCCGCUUGUGAUUUACGAAUCGGCAUCAAAUAGUUGACGUUACCAUUGCGCGCCAACUGUUCGGAAUAUAUCCCAAAGUGGAAUCCCGAGCUCAUAGAUUACGAAAGCUUAUUGCAAGAAAAAUUCCAAUAAGGCUUGCUGUAACAUAAGUAUUGUUUGGCUGUGCUAGUUUGAAAUGAGUUCCUAUUUGUCUAACUCAAAAUCAUUUUAUUACAGGUACGCCUUACCUUGCCGUCGUUGUUAAAACUAUAUCCUACUACUGUUGAAGCUAGGGAUAAAAGCUUAACAGUUAUUUUUAAUAUGUUGGCAACAUUUAUUGGUACAAUGGAUAGAUCAUCUAUCGGGGCAUUAUGUGGAAAUAUUUUUUACUUUUGCUUGGUUGCUCUUGAUCUUCGCCGUCAAAGUCCUCAUUUAGUUAAAAACAUUAUGGCAUGGUGAAGGAAUUUGAUGACCUACUUGGCAUUUGCAUCGGCCAAAUGGCUGUCACAGCUGGUUCUAAUCUUUUGUUGUAACCUUUGAACCACGAGGUUUUGAUGCAGACACGUAGUGAGAAGACGCGGACUAGAAUAUUGGGCCUGAUCGCCUGAGAACUAUUAAACAUUUUGGAGAUAACUUGAAAGAAGAAUAUUUAGUAUUAUUAGGAAAAAAAUCCCCUGCCUCGGUGAACUGUUUGAGGAUGUGGAGCUUUGAGUUAAAUCUCUUGCUCAAGAAAAUCUACAAGAAAUGAAGUCUAUGAGUGGGGAGAUCCUUCGACAAUACUUAUGAUCUUAGAUUAGAAAGGUAGUUUUCAUUGUAUCGUGACGUGACGAGUGUGAGCUAGAAAUGUGUAAUAAAAUAUAGGGAAUCGUACUGUAGUUCAAUGUACAUUAUGUCCAUUUUAAAGGAAGGUGUCAUUCUUUUUUUAAUCAAAAGGAAUAUAUUAAUUCAAAAAAGCAUUGAUUACAAGCCGAACUCAAGGUUCCAACCCUCUUACAAGACAAAAUAAAACUGCUCUACAUCAUAAGGAUUGCUAUGUGUCUCCUAAAGUGUUUAGAUAUCCACCCACUAUAAGUAAUUUUCUCUAUAAUGCUAUCCACAAUCUUUGUAUUCUUUCUCUUUUUAAAAAUAACACUGUUUCUAUACAACCAAACCUCAUGUAAGGUUUCAGUUAUUGCAAGCUUCAAUGCAGCAACUUUCCAUCCCUUCCUGUUUGUAGUAUUCAGAAUCCAAGGGAACUCCUCCUGCCACCCUUUAGGGUCAUGCAUUAUCUCAAGCCAAUUAAGGAUUGCUUUCCAAAUAGGUUUAGUUUCUCGGCACUCGAAGAACAGGUGCUGAAUGCUUUCUUCCUUAUCUCUGCAUAAGCUACAAAUGUUAUUUUGCAGCAUUCCAAAACGCACAAGUCUAUCCUUGGUUGCUAGUUUCCCUUGGUAUACUAACCACAAGGUAAUGAUUGUCUUAGGCCUAACACAAUUUCUCCACAUCAG